rnacentral:lncRNA from 1 species
AGGGGAGCCGAGCUCAACAAUCACCAUAUUAACAUGAGGAUGAUGGAUGAUCGAACCAUUCUUCUUAGAUGCAGGGGGAGCAAAUUUCUUAUAAAAAUAAUUCUUUGUCAAGUGAUUGGUCCUCCCACAUACAAAGCAGCAAUGACCAUUUCCACCCUCAGACUUUUAUUUUUUGUUAUUAUUAUUAUUAUUGUUGCUAUAGUAAAAAUAUUUAUUUUUAUUAUUUUUAAAUUUAUUUUGAUGGUUUUGGUUACUAUGAGGCUUGGACUGAUUUUCUAACAUAUU